rnacentral:rRNA from 1 species
CAGUCGCCGCGGGAAUACGAAGGGUGCAAGCGUUACUCGGAAUUACUGGGCGUAAAGCGUGCGUAGGUGGUGGUUUAAGUCCGUUGUGAAAGCCCUGGGCUCAACCUGGGAAUUGCAGUGGAUACUGGGUCACUAGAGUGUGGUAGAGGAUAGUGGAAUUUCCGGUGUAGCAGUGAAAUGCGCAGAGAUCGGAAGGAACAUCUGUGGCGAAGGCGACUAUCUGGGCCAACACUGACACUGAGGCACGAAAGCGUGGGGAGCAAACAGGAUUAGAUACCCCAGUAGUCCCUGUCUCUUAUAC